CGCUGGCGGCAUGCCUAACACAUGCAAGUCGAACGAGAAUCUGUGGAUUGAGGAUUCGUCCAAAUGAAGCAGAGGACAGUGGCGGACGGGUGAGUAACGCGUGAGGAACCUGCCUUUCAGAGGGGGACAACAGUUGGAAACGACUGCUAAUACCGCAUAACGCGUAGAGAUCGCAUGGUCUUUACGCCAAAGAUUUAUCGCUGAAAGAUGGGCUCGCGUCUGAUUAGCUAGUUGGUGGGGUAACGGCCCACCAAGGCGACGAUCAGUAGCCGGACUGAGAGGUUGGCCGGCCACAUUGGGACUGAGACACGGCCCAGACUCCUACGGGAGGCAGCAGUGGGGAAUAUUGGGCAAUGGGCGCAAGCCUGACCCAGCAACGCCGCGUGAAGGAAGAAGGCUUUCGGGUUGUAAACUUCUUUUGUCAGGGACGAUAAUGACGGUACCUGACGAAUAAGCCACGGCUAACUACGUG
rnacentral:rRNA from 1 species